GGAUUAGGAUGACAGCACAGGAAUUUGGAGGCUGCACAGUUAUUUAGGCCAUAGCAAAAGCGACCUGAUAUAGAGGUUGGCAAAUUGGGGAAAUUGACUAGAAGAUUGCCAAAAGAGUUUAGAAGCUACAAAGGAGAAAAUUAACCCCUUGGGUCUCAGAUUAGGUACCUGUCUUAUGGGACUGUGGCUGACAGAAGCUGAUGCUGAUACUGGAGACAAAAGAAUCUGAGGAACUCAUCAUUUUUAUGCAGUGGCUAAAAACUAGAGAACAACCUCAUUUCCCUCCCUUUCACUUUUGGGGCUGGAGUCACACCUCAGUCUUUUCUCAAGACACAUCUCAGAGGACGGACACCAGAGGAAGGUUGCCUUUUAUCCACUGCUAAAGAGAAAUAUCAAACAGUUCAAAUCACUGGAUAGGUAAAGAAAAAUAAAGAGGAAAUCUAAGCAUCUCUCCAGCGCUCUGAGGCUGGAGUCAGGACGGGAAGUUGUGCAGGCAGCAGACAUGGCUGUGAGCUGGAACAGAAGGCCUGUGUGAGCGCAAGGGCCAAAUACUGCAUCUCAUCGAGCAAGUUUAAUAGGCUCGGGGGGCCUCGCAUUGAAGUUGGAACACAUCUUAAAAAGGGAGAGAAAUAAAACUCUGAUCCACUGUGUAGCGGGGAUUAUUCUUUGCUUCAAGUUUUAUUUGAAAGAACUGAAAGACAAGGUCCAGAAACCCUGGACUCUGACUUGGUGAAAAAUAAUCAAACAAAGCAUUUAUUUUCAGUCACUUCAAAGGACUUCUAUGAUGCUGAGGUGAGAAAGAGGCCGGAAAGCAAGG
rnacentral:lncRNA from 1 species